GCACCAUGAUCCUCCAUAGUUGAUGCAGGGGCCACAGAAUGCAUGUCAGCAGAGUCAGUGAGCACAGCCCCUGUCCUGGGAUCAGGCAUCCCUUCACUAAGGAUAGAGGAGCAUAUGAUGUCCCUCUACCGUCACCACUGCAAAUACAGUCAUCAUGGUUGAUGCUCCUGGCCUGUGACGUCACACCAUCGAAUGAAGGAGAGUGCCUCCUUAAAUCCUUUUCGCAACCAGGUAAAAGCCAUAUAUGUAUGUCUGCACACCAGAUUUGGGAGGCAGUUUACAAGAAACUCCAUGUUUCCUCCCUUAAUUUUUUUGUGCAUUAACUUCGCUCUGGAUUAAGUACCUCACUUGCCAAUCCAUUUACUCACACUAAAAAAGGCAGGGUCAACAGAAGAAAGUCUCCAGCAUGCGCCAGCCGCCCUCAGCAGCAAGUUGAUGAUCUUGCCUUCGGAUAUAUAAUCUCAAAAGGGGACUUUCCUCAGAAGCCCUCAAUGAGCAACACAAGGAAAACAAAGGAAAAGGGAAUUUGUGACUGUGAAUCACAGUCUCCACCAAAAUCCACACUCAUUCACCCAGACAGCUCCUCACUGGACACCACUUUGCAAUGCUAGGCUCAUGUCUUUUCAACCCUCUGCCCCCGUCAGGCCGGCUCAGCCCCACACAGUGCCCGGCUCGUCCUCUGCCGGAUGCUUGCAUCUCCCACUGGUGUGCGCUGAGCUAAGUCAUAAACAAUCACAUCCCUGUAGGGAAUGAAAGGGAAAGUGCCCAAGCAGAAAAGAAUGCAGAAAAGUGGGGGUGGAUUGAAACAGCUGGAGAAAGCACAGAGUGUUUACAUUCUGCCGAGUCACGGAGGGAGCUCUUGGACCCGAGUGCCCAGAUGAGGUGGGUUCCUCUGGGGUCUCUGAAAAAUGGGUACUUGAUUGAAUGCCUGAAUUCUACCCCAGACCUGGAGGUCUGAAUUUGUCAGGUGCUCCUGUCUAGAAGCCUUGAACACUUUGGGCACGUAAUCGUGACGUGGGUGUGGCUAGCCUUUCACCCACCUUCUCUGCGGGGCCUGUCUGCAGGGGUACGGAGAGGAGGAGGUGAUUUUCUGAGAAGAUCAGAAGGAAGGUUGGCUGGGGAACUCUGCUCCAUAUCAUCCUUAAUCAAGGACCCAGAGCUCAAGGAGGCCAAGGAACCCCAGAACUCUGCUGUCAGGAAGGAAAAAGGAGAUACCUUUACUAAUACACUAGCACCUAGAAGCAGGUAAUUCCCGGCUUUUUCUUCAGUGGACUCAUCAAACCAUCCCCGCCCACAGCACCACGUGACCCAGAAUCCCUUCCAGCAUUUUCCUAUAUUCCACACAAGAAAGGCUCCAAAACCUAGCUGCCAAGACUAAUCCUCCUUCACAGGAAGUGGGGGUGGGGAGACAUGACGCUAGAAGUGGGUGAAUAAUCUCAACGCUUCGCACCCUACAAAAUGCCAAGCCAUGAGAUUCAGUCGUUUCUGCUGUCCCCGGGGCACCUUUGGGCCAAGCACUUGACAUAGCACACUGAAUGACUCUUUGGCCCCUCAUCUACACGUGCACCCGAUCUGGCGAAUGACGAACAUCGCAGGUUUCCCCGGAUCUUUUGUGAGGCAGAUACAAGAUAAAUGAGAUCGGCAAACCUCGUUAAGGCGAAGAGCGAGUGCGUUACCGUUCAGGUGACUGCGAUGCUGGCUCAAGCUUGAGAACCACUGCUUUCUAGUCCAGAGCAUCUUCCGGAGUAUUGGCUGGGAUGCACAACCACGUUGCUAUCUGAUCUCGUCACGCUUCUGCCAAGAGGUGAAAUCUAAGAGCCCAGGUUCUGGAUGCCUGACAUCUUCUUCAGGUCACUUACCUGAGAACACCUGAGGACACUGCGGUCCGUCUUUCUGCGUGAACGUGUGCAGUCCCUGGGCUCUGAGAGGUAGAAAGGAGUGCUAAGUGAAGUCAGCCCUUAUGAGCUUCCAAUCACCUGUCAAACAUGGGACUGCCAAAUCAAAGACCGAGAGAACCAAAGACCACGGGGGCUCCAAAUGGUGUGGUUCUGACUGCAUGUGGAAACAGAAUGGAAGCACACACAUUGCAAAACUCUCCCCGCCCGCCCCCCCGCCAUCCUUCCUUGCUUUAUCUAUUCUCUCACACCCAGCUGCUGUUACAGCCCCCUCCUUUUCCUCCCAGCUCACUGCCCACCCUGGGUUUGCUCCAGUUUUCUCUCUUAUUGCCCCUAACACCACCCCUCCAUCUCUUGUCCUCUUCCCCUCCACCCCAUUCUGGUUUUGUUUUAGAUCGCAGAAGUCCCGAGGAUAGAUUCAGCAAGGACAGAGACCCCAGAAGGCAGGGGGAAAGGAGGGAACAGAGCGGACAAGGACAGAUUUCGGUUCAGGAUAAAGACUGAGAACACCCGAGUGCACUUGACCAUCAGUGCUCCUGUCCCUGAGCACCGCAAGCCUGGGGCAUGGAGACUGAGCUGCGGGCUGCAGGUGUGGCAGAAGCUCCUGAGGGCCACUGGACGUGAGCUAAGCCGUGGCAGGUGAGGGGGCUCUGGGUGAGCGGAGGGGAGGGAGGGGCCCUUCCAGCCCAUAGCAGGAAGGAGCCUGAGCGUGAGGGUCAUGGUAGCCUGUGGGGGAUGGAGGAUAUGAUGCAGAGUCGUGGGAAGUGAGGCUGGAUAGGUCUUCAGACGGAGGAGGUGACAGAUAAAGUUGGAGUUGGUUCCUGAGCGGAGGAGAAGUGUGUGUAAUAAUGAAUUCUAUCAGUACUGAGAAGGCAUCAUGUCCUGCAGGAGUCACGAUUGAAAUGCGGGUGGUGUGAAGCAGGUGAGGUACGAAGCAGUCGGGCCGGGAGGGGCUGUGGUGAGCUAGAGCCCGUGCCCACUCUAACGUGGGGGAUUACUGGGGAAUCAGUCUCUUAAUGUGAAGUUUCUUCAUUUUUUAAAAGAGACGAGGUUUUUUUAAAUUGAGGUAUAAUUGACACACUGUUACGUUAGUUUCAGGUGUACAACAUGGUGAUUGCAGGAGUCUCUACAUGAUGCUGUGCUCCCCACGAGUGUAGCUCCCAACUGUCCCACACAGUGCUGUUACCCUUCCACUGACUGUAUUCCCUGUGCUGUAUCUUCCAUCCCCGUGGCUUAUUUAUUCCAUAACUGAAAACCUGUACCUCCCACUCCCCAUCACCCAUCUUCCUCACCACCCCCGGCCUCUUAACCUCUGGCAACCAUCAGUUUCUUCUCUGUAUUAUGGGUCUGUUUCUGCUUGUUUUCAUCAUUGUUGUUCAUUUGUUUUGUUUUUUAGAUUCCACACAUAUGUGAAAUCACAUGGUAUUUGUUUUUCUCUGACUUAUUUCACUUAGGAUAAUUCCUCUAGGUCCAUCCAUGUUGUUGCAAAUGUCAAGAUCUCAUUUUUUUAUGGCUGAGUAAUACUCCAGUGUUUAUACAUCACAUCUUCUGUAUCCAUUGCAUCCAUUGAUGAACACUUAGUUUGCUUCCAUAUGUUGACUAUUGUGAAUAAUGCUGCAGUAAAAAAGGAUGCACAUAUCUUUUCUUUUCUUUUUUUUUUUUUUUAAGAUUUUGUUUAUUUAUUUGACAGAGCGAGAGGGAACACAAGCAGGGGGAAUGGGAGAGGGAGAAGCAGGCUUCCCUCUGAGCAGGGAGCCUGAAGCAGGGCUCAAUCCCAGGACCCUGGGAUCAUGACCUGAGAUGAAGGCAGACGCUUAAUGACUGAGCCACCCAGGUGCCCCACAUACAUCUUUUCAAACUAGUGUUUUCAUUUUCUUUGGGUGAAUACCCAGUAGUGGAAUUACUGGAUUAUAUACUGGAAAUAUAUAUAUUUCUAUUUUUAAGCUGUGAAGGACUUCGACACUGUUUUCCACAGUGGCUGCACCAGGUUAAUGUUACCACCAAGGGUGCACAAGUUUCAUUUUUCUCCACAUCCUCACCGAUACAUACUUCUUGUCUUUUUCAUGCUAGCCGUUCUGACUGGUAGGAGGUGGUAACUCACUGUGGCUCUGAUUUGCAUUUUUCUGAUGAUGAGUGAUGUUGAGCACCUUUUCAUGGAGGUGUUGGCCAUCUGGAGGUCUUCUUAGGGAAAAUUUUUAUUUAUGUCCUCUGCCCUCCCCCCUUUUUUUUAAUUUCACCUACCCACUUGACAGAGAAAGAGUGAGAGCGAGAUAGAGCAAGCGCACAAGCAGGGAGAGUGGCAGAGGGAGAGGGAGAAGCAGGCUCCCUGCUGAGCAAGGAGCCCGAUGCGGGCAGAUCCCAGGACCUCAGGAUCAUGAUCCUAGCUGAAGGCAGACACACAACUGACCAAGGUACCCAGGCGCCCCCGUGCCCAUUUUUAAUCAGCCUAUUUGUUUCUUCAUUUUAAAAUAUGGUAGCUAAUUAAAAAUUUUAAAGUCUGGGCCUCUGGUUGGUCAGUUCUGACUUGGAUUUUUUUAAAUUUUUAAUUUAAAGGGGUUUUUUUUUUUAAGUUUUUAUAUAUUUAUUCAUGUAAUCUCUGUACCCAGUGUGGGGAUCAGACUCAUGACCCCCAGAUCAAGAGUCUCAUGCUCUUCCAACCGAGCCAACCAGGUACCCCUCUGACUUGGAUUUUUUUUUUUUCUGGCCUGGGGCUUUGUACCAUACUGUGAAAAUACUAAAGCUAGUAUAUCUUCUUAGUUUCCUCCCUUACUCUUUUCUAUUAAACCCAUUUAUGAUGAAAAUCAAAAAAAUAAGUAUUCACUGAACAACAACAGUGUACUUUUAAAUGCUUCACUUGGAUUAUCCAUUUAAUCCUCACACAGUCCUGUAAGAUUAGCUACUCCUAUCUUAUAGAUGAGAGAACUAAGGCUCAGAGAGGUAAAAUCCCUUGCCCCAGAUCGUACAGCAAGUAGGGAAGCCAGGACUCCAGCCCAGGUGGUCACAUUCUUGACUCAUGCCUUUAGCCUGUGUGUCAUAUCCUUUCCUGUGUAGUUCAGUUACCAUAUUUCAGUCAUGGUUUUCCACCUUCCAAGCAUGAGCGAUAAUCGUGAGGUUGUGUUUUACCUUCUUGUGUUAAAAUAUCGGUGUGCGUUUUCCUUGCCCAUGCCCUGGUGUGGAAUGUGGGUCUGUUCUGGUCGGUUUGACAAAUAUUUACUGGGUAUUCAUGAUGUGCCAUGCAGCGUGCUGGGCACCAGUCACUGACCAUCAUGAAACCGUUUUAUUUAUUUUUUAUUUUACUUAUUUUUUAAGUAAACUCUACCUCCACUGUGGGGCUGGAACUCACGACCCACCCCGAGAUCCAGAGUCCCAUGCUCUACUGCCUGAGCCAGCCAGGCGCCCCCAUGAAACUGUUUUAAUAGGAAAUGCUGACGGAAGCACAAAAUCUCAACAUAAUGUGGGAUGUCAUGUUGGAAUACAGGCAUCCUCGGGAUGUGGUGAGAUCACACACUGGAGUCCUGCAUGUGGGGGAAGGGGUAAGUCAGGGAGGACUUCCUGUGAGAAAUGUCAUGGGGGCUGAGUGUCAGAGAACUCUGAGGAGCAGCGAGGUUCAACGGGCCAGCACUGGAAGAGGCAGAGGGUAUAGGCAAGAUCGAGAGGGUGGUGACCAGGCAUCAGGAGGAGUUGGGGACCUCAGGGUUAGAUGUUCCCGAAAAAGCUGACAAACAGAAGGGCGGCUGCUAAAGGAGGUAGGGUUGAUAGGCUAAGGGGCAGACCCCACAGAGAGAAUAAAGACCGAUUUGUGAGUGAAUGGAGGAGAUAAAUCGACCAAAAGCCAGAGGAGGGCAUUGCAUUAGCUCAGCCUGGCACAUGGAAGGACUGACCACCUCUUACUAGUAUGAGAGCGUAAGCAGGCUCCUUCACCUCUGUGAUCCUCAGUUUCCUCAUGCAAAGUAGAGUCUGUCACUGAUAGUUUGGUGGGUAUUGCAUCAGAUGCCCCUGCCAGGUCUAGGCCAGUGCUUGGCCAGGGCAAUUGCUUAGACAAUGUGAGUUAUCAUCAUUGAGGCACUUACUAAAUGUUUGUUGAAUGAAUGAAAGACGGCAAUGGCUUAAGCCAACCCAGUGAUACCAACAGGAGUUGGGAGAUCAAUGCAGGAGCUUAAAGUUGAGACUCGCCCGUGAUUCUGCGUGUCUUUUGAGGACUGGGAAAUAAGGGCUACAUUCAUUUGCAACGGAGAUACGUUUCAGUGCUGUCAUAAAGUCCCAGUGAAGCUAUCUGGUCCCCCUGACCAGCAGCCUGCCUCCACAUGCCAGUCUGACCCCAGAUGCUGCAGCUGAAUCAGCCAUCACUGGGUGCUGAGGCUGCUGAUUUUCCCCAGGGGGCUCAUCUGCACUCCUGUGACUCUAGCAUUCCUGCAGGUUUCAUCA